rnacentral:rRNA from 1 species
ACGCAAUAGAUACCCCGGUAGUCCACGCCCUAAACGAUGGAUACUAGGCGUAAGAGGUAUCGACCCCUCUUGUGCCGCAGCUAAACGCACUAAGUAUCCCGCCUGGGGAGUACGGCCGCAAGGUUGAAACUACAAAUGAAUUGACGGGGACCCGGCACAAGCGGUGGAGCAUGUGGAUUAAUUCGAUACUAACCGAAGAACCUUACCCAGACUUGACAUCGAUCGCAAGCCCUAGAAAUAGGGCCCUCUCCCCAAAACGGGAGACGUGAAGACACUUGUUGCAUGGCUGUCGUCAGCUCGUGCCGUGAGGUGUACGGUUAAGUCCGCCAACGAGCGCAACCCUCGUCCUAUGUUGCCAGCAUGAAAGAUGGGAACUCAUAGGAGACCGCCGGUGUAAAUCGGAGGAAGGUGGGGAUGACGUCAAGUCAGCAUGGCAGUUA